AUUGAACGCUGGCGACAUGCCUUACACAUGCAAGUCGAACGGCAGCACGGGUGCUUGCACCUGUUGGCGAGUGGCGAACGGGUGAGUAAUACAUCGGAACAUGUCCUGUAGUGGGGGAUAGCCCGGCGAAAGCCGGAUUAAUACCGCAUACGAUCUACGGAUGAAAGCGGGGGACCUUCGGGCCUCGCGCUAUAGGGUUGGCCUAUGGCUGAUUAGCUAGUUGGUGGGGUAAAGGCCUACCAAGGCGACGAUCAGUAGCUGGUCUGAGAGGACGACCAGUCACACUGGGACUGAGACACGGCCCAGACUCCUACGGGAGGCAGCAGUGGGGAAUUUUGGACAAUGGGCGAAAGCCUGAUCCAGCAAUGCCGGGUGUGUGAAGAAGGCCUUCGGGUUGUAAAGCACUUUUGUCCGGAAAGAAAUCCUUGGCCCUAAUACGGUCGGGGGAUGACGGUACCGGAAGAAUAAGCACCGGCUAACUACGUG
rnacentral:rRNA from 1 species